UCUCAUGACAAAGUGGGACCAAUCUACACAAACACAAACACUCUCUCUUUCUUUAAUAAUCAUCUUCUUCUUCUUCCUUCUUCCUUCACCACAACCAUCAUCAUCAUCUUCUUCCCUCUAUCUAUCUUCCAUCUUUCUUUCUUUCUUUCUUAUUCACUUCCUUUGAGGAGGAAGAAGACGUUUCCUAGUUUGUUUAUUAACUUCUUUGUUGUGAUUAUGAGGUGAAAGUUUGUUUUGGAUCUUCUCC
rnacentral:lncRNA from 1 species